CCUACGGGUGGCUGCAGUGAGGAAUAUUGGUCAAUGGUCGGGAGACUGAACCAGCCAAGCCGCGUGAGGGAUGAAGGUACAGAGUAUCGUAACCCUCUUUUGUCAGGGCACAAAGGCGGGGACGUGUCCCCGGAUGAGUGUACCUGAAGAAAAAGCAUCGGCUAACUCCGUGCCAGCAGCCGCGGUAAUACGGAGGAUGCGAGCGUUAUCCGGAUUUAUUGGGUUAAAGGGGUGCGCAGGCGGUCUGUUAAGUCAGCGGUCAAAGCCCGGGGCUCAACCCCGGCCCGCCGUUGAAACUGGCAGUCUCGAGUUGGAGAGAAGUAUGCGGAAUGCGCGGUGUAGCGGUGAAAUGCUUAGAGAUCAUACAGAACACCGAUUGCGAAGGCAGCUUACCAAGCUACUUCUGACGUUGAGGCACGAAAGCGUGGGGAGCAAACAGGAUUAGAUACCCGGGUAGUC
rnacentral:rRNA from 1 species